GGACCGGUAGCUUAAUUGGAUAGAGUCCCUGGUUACGGCCCAGGAGGUUGGGGGUUCGAAUCCCUCCCGGUUCA
rnacentral:tRNA from 1 species